rnacentral:rRNA from 1 species
UAUUAGUAGUCAUACGCUCGUCUCAAAGAUUAAGCCAUGCAUGUGUAAGUAUAAAUAGUUAACUUUGAAACUGCGAAUGGCUCAUUAUAUCAGUUAUAGUUUAUUUGAUGAAGAAUACUAAUUGGAUAACCGUAGUAAUUCUAGAGCUAAUACAUGUAUAAAGUCUUGUAGACUGCAUUUAUUAGAAUGAAAACCAUAGGUUUCGGCCUAUUCGUGAGUAAUAAUAACUAAUCAUAUCGUAUGCUUAUGUAACGAUGUGUCUUUCAAGUUUCUGCCCUAUCAGCUUUCGAUGGUAGUGUGUUGGACUACCAUGGGGAGUAACGGGUAACGAAUAA